AAUCCAAAAUCGCUUAAUCUAAAAAAGAGCGGGGGAACCAUUUAGAGGCGUACAGCCUCCGGGGUGAAUCCUUUUAAAGGUAGGGCAAACUCUCGUGAGCCCGAAUCCGUCAGCUAACCUCGUAAGCGUUAAGAGAGAGGGAGA
rnacentral:sRNA from 23 species